rnacentral:rRNA from 1 species
UACAGAGGCCCCAAGCGUUACUGAGAAUCACUGGGUUUAAAGGGUGCGUAGGUGGCGCGUUAAGUCCGUUGUGAAAUCCCUUGGCUCAACCAAGGAAUGGCUUCGGAUACUGGCGUGCUUGAGGCCGGUAAGGGUCACUGGAACUGACGGUGGAGCGGUGAAAUGCGUAGAUAUCGUCAGGAACGCCGAUGGUGAAGACAGGUGACUGGGCCGGUUCUGACACUGAGGCACGAAAGCGUGGGGAGCGAACGGG